rnacentral:lncRNA from 1 species
AGAGCCUGACAGAUCCCUUCCACUUCAAGCUCCACCAGGUGUGCUGUUAAGGAAGACGUCUCUGCCUCUGCCUCUGCUGCCUGACUGCUGCAAACUGCUGCAGGGAUUGCAGAGGACUUCGGUCACAUCUGGGCAAGUACCCGAGUCUGGAGAGAUCCCAGAAGAUAUUUUUUGACCUGACAUCAUCGCAAGCUCCCAAGUUGUCUGAGGCCACAUGAACUGACAAUCUGGAUGGGAAGAUCAGAGUAAAGACAGAAGUCAA